rnacentral:rRNA from 1 species
UACGUGGGGGGCAAGCGUUGUUCGGAAUUACUGGGCGUAAAGGGCUCGUAGGCGGCCAACUAAGUCGGACGUGAAAUCCCCAGGCUCAACCUGGGAACUGCGUCCGAUACUGGAUGGCUUGAAUCCGGGAGAGGGAUGCAGAAUUCCAGGUGUAGCGGUGAAAUGCGUAGAUAUCUGGAGGAAUACCGGUGGCGAAGGCGGCAUCCUGGACCGGCAUUGACGCUGAGGAGCGAAAGCCAGGGGAGCAAACGGG